CCUACGGGAGGCAGCAGUGGGGAAUAUUGGUCAAUGGGCGCAAGCCUGACCCAGCAACGCCGCGUGAAGGAAGAAGGCUUUCGGGUUGUAAACUUCUUUUUUCAGGGGAGAGUAGAAGACGGUACCUGACGAAUAAGCCACGGCUAACUACGUGCCAUCAGCCGCGGUAAUACGUAGGUGGGAAGCGUUGUCCGGAUUUACUGGGUUGAAAGGGCGUGUAGCCGGGUUGAUAAGUCAGAUGUGAAAUCGUGCGGCUUAACCGCAGAACUGCAUUUGAAACUGUUGAUCUUGAGUACUGUGGAGGCAGACGGAAUUCCUAGUGUAGCGGUGAAAUGCGUAGAUAUUAGGAGGAACACCAGUGGCGAAGGCGGUCUGCUGGACAGCAACUGACGGUGAGGCGCGAAAGCGUGGGGAGCAAACAGGAUUAGAUACCCGUGUAGUC
rnacentral:rRNA from 1 species